rnacentral:lncRNA from 1 species
UGAAGGGAUAUUUUCUAUUCAAUCUUCAAUCAAAGCUUAUUUUCCAAUAAACCACAAUUACGACACAAUCCCGAACCAACGAACGUUUGAAAUCAUACGACGGAGUGUUUAUUUUGCGAAUAAAAUUCAACCGAACUUAAAUUAGUGUAUCUUUAACUGUGUAAAAUCGGUGUGUUUUGGCUUUGAUUGAUAAGGUAUCAUUUAUCCAAUGACUUUUAUUUGGAUACGACGUCUUCCUAGAUUUCUGCGAGCGGCUAUUUGAUAGAUAUUAAAUUCGUGUAGCGUUUUAUAUCUGUGACCUUAUUUCUCAAUAGCUUUUGUAAUGUUGUUCGCCGGUCGGCAUAUUAUGAUCGACAUUUCGUGAAGGAAAGGCGUUUUCAUGAGCGAUUCUUCAGGAGCAUCUACAGUUGAAUGAGAAGCGAUUACUAACCUUUCCUUCCCAAUAUAUCUAGAACAUUCCACAAGCUUCCAAACAAAACAAAAAAAUUUAUAAUCAUUCCAUUUACAAAAUUUUAUUUUUAGAACAUCAAAAUUGAUACUCCAAACUCGCCAGUCUCCCUUUCCCCUUUGUCCAACCCUUCCCCUGUCCGCGUUUCGCCGCCAAAACACGAAUUUUUCAAAUAUAGAACGUCGUCUCUGAAAAAAGAAAUCAGUUUGUCGUCAUCGAAUGUGGCAAAGUCGCCAGUGUCAAAACGCCACCACAGGCACAGUUCGUCGUCUAAUGUAGUAGUAGUGCCCUAUAAGGGGGUAGCGAAAUGUACUGACAGUAUGAGUUCUUCCCCAGUAGUUGAGCCCUCCUCCCCCUCCACUACCCCGUCGUCGCCUGCGCUGAGGGCGGACGCCGUGCAGUUCCAUACCUCCACGCCGAAUUAUAUUGGAAAGAAGCACAAUCCGCCCCUGAACGUCAGCCUUCCUUCGACGGCGCCGGCCACACCGCCCAGUACCACCGCUUACGG